CAAUAUAUUAAAGGAUGCACACGGAGUCGUAAUGUAACGCUAACUAAACACAAGCACGACAAACCACAGACAGAAGAUACAGAUCAACCUUACGCAGGGAGUGGAGCACUCAACAGGAGGGGGUGGCCAUGUGGCAGUAUUCCACUGUACACUUGUUACUGCAUACAGUCUAUUAGAAAAGCAAUCUGCCUACUACCAGCAGCAAUUCUGUAAAGAUACAUUUAAAUAAAAAGAAGAAUUAUUCUAGCUGUUCUUAGGUAGUUCUUUUGAAAAUUCUCAUCUCAAACAGAUCAAUCCUCUUCAUCACUGGGCCCUGCUGCUAGUCAGUCUGAAGAUUUCCACAGGCUGAUUCUUCAGCACCUGAGGAAAUUGGCAGAGGAUGUCAGAGAGUUGCAAUACCAGACCACAGUAAACAGGAAGCUCUUAAUGCAACUGACCAAUGGGUCUCAAGGGUACAUGGUUCUGCCAGAGGACAUUGUGCUUCCUUUGAAGGACAGGCUGAUGCUGGAGAAGCUUGAACAUCGGCUUGCUGGGAAUGAAAUUGGUGAGGUUUUUGGCUGCUAAAGGGGGCAAGUCCGUCAAAGACUCAGUGAGGAGGAUGUUUGCCUGCCUUGUCUCCAACGACCUGUCCAGGCUUUGUAACUGGACCGGCUUGGGACAUAAGAUCUCUUUCACAGCUAGCUUUUAAAAGCAUUGUUCACAGAGCGAUAAGAAAGAACCCCUCUACAAAAGAGGCAACAGAGGGGAACCUCCAAGAGGUGGUCGCAAAUUUCUGAAGGGAGCUGCUGACAGAGAAGGGGGUAGGAAAGAAACACAGGCCAAUUGAUGAGGCUGAAUAAACAAUUUUCUGUUUGUCUGGGUAUAUUGUACUGUUACAUACUCAUUAUUUCGAUUAAUAUGAUUUUCUGUAAUAACAAUUAGAAGCCUAUAUAUAUAUUAUAAUUGUAUAAUAUAUUUUUUUUAUUAUAAAAUGC